UGGGGAAUUUUUCGCAAUGGGGGCAACCCUGACGAAGCAACGCCGCGUGGAGGAUGAAGGCCUUCGGGUUGUAAACUCCUGUCGACUGGGACGAAAGCAGCUCGACCUAAUACGUCGAGUUGUUGACUGUACCGGUGGAGGAAGCCACGGCUAACUCUGUGCCAGCAGCCGCGGUAAUACAGAGGUGGCAAGCGUUGUUCGGAAUUACUGGGCGUAAAGGGCGCGUAGGCGGCCCGCUAAGUUCCGUGUGAAAUCCCUCGGCUCAACUGAGGAACCGCACGGAAAACUGGCAGGCUUGAGUUCGGGAGAGGGAAGUGGAAUUCCGGGUGUAGCGGUGAAAUGCGUAGAUAUCCGGAGGAACACCGGUGGCGAAGGCGGCUUCCUGGACCGACACUGACGCUGAGGCGCGAAAGCUAGGGGAGCAAACGGGAUUAGAUACCCCGGUAGUCCUAGCUGUAAACGAUGAGCGCUGGGUGUAGGGGGUAUGAACCCCCCCUGUGCCGAAGCUAACGCAUUAAGCGCUCCGCCUGGGGAGUACGGUCGCAAGGCUG
rnacentral:rRNA from 1 species